rnacentral:rRNA from 1 species
UACGUAGGGGGGCUAGCGUUGUCCGGAAUCAUUGGGCGUAAAGAGCGUGUAGGCGGCCCGGUAAGUCCGCUGUGAAAGUCGGGGGCUCAACCCUCGAAUGCCGGUGGAUACUGUCGGGCUAGAGUGCGGAAGAGGCGAGUGGAAUUCCUGGUGUAGCGGUGAAAUGCGCAGAUAUCAGGAGGAACACCAAUUGCGAAGGCAGCUCGCUGGGACGUAACUGACGCUGAGAACGCGAAAAGCGUGGGGAGCAAACAGG